GACAGAGGUGCCGAGCGUUAGGCGGAAUCACUGGGCUUAAAGCGUGUGUAGGCGGGCGGGCAAGUACCUUGUGAAAUCCCACGGCUCAACCGUGGAACUGCUGGGUAUACUGCUUGUCUUGAGCCAAUCAGGGGCGAGCGGAACAGACGGUGGAGCGGUGAAAUGCGUAGAUAUCGGGAGGAACACCAGUGGCGAAGGCGAUCAUCUGGGGUUGUUCUGACACUGAGGAGCGAAAGCUAGGGGAGCAAACGGG
rnacentral:rRNA from 1 species